rnacentral:rRNA from 1 species
GAUGAACGCUGGCGGCGUGCCUAAUACAUGCAAGUCGAGCGAACGGACGAGAAGCUUGCUGCUCUGAUGUUAGCGGCUCACGGGUGAGUAACACGUGGAUAACCUACCUAUCAGCCUGGGAUAACUUCGGGAAACCGGCUCUCAUACCGGAUGAUAUUCUGAACCGCAUGGUUCAAAAGUGAACUACUGUCUUGCUGUCACUUAUAGAUGCAUCAGCGCUGCAUUAGCUAGUUGGUAAGGUAACGGCUUACCAAGGCAACGAUGCAUAGCCGACCUGAGAGGGUGAUAGGCCACACUGGAACUGAGACACGGUCCAGAGUACUACGAGAGGCAGCAGUAGGGAAUCGUCCGCAAUGGGAGAAAGGCGUACGGAGCAAGGGCGCGUGAGUGAUGAAGGUCUUCGGAUCGUAAAACUCUGUUAUUAGGGAAGAACAUAUGUGUAAGUAAAUGUGCACAUCUUGACGGUACCUAAUGAGAAAGCCACGGCUAACUACGUG